GCAUCAUUGGUCCAAUGGUAGAAUGGGCGCUUGCCAAGCGUUCGACCCGGGUUCGAUUCCCGGAUGAUGCA
rfam:Edhazardia aedis TSNM 41457 supercont1.75, whole genome shotgun sequence.